rnacentral:rRNA from 1 species
UACGUAGGGGCCUAGCGUUGUCCGGAUUUAUUGGGCGUAAAGCGCUCGCAGGCGGCCUGAUGCGUCGUGCGUGAAACACCCCGGCUCAACUGGGGGGGGUCGUGCGAUACGGUCAGGCUCGAGGCCAGUAGGGGGACGCGGAAUUCCGGGUGUAGUGGUGGAAUGCGUAGAGAUCCGGAGGAACACCAGCGGCGAAGGCGGCGUCCUGGACUGGUACUGACGCUCAGGAGCGAAAGCGUGGGGAGCGAUCCGG